AACGAACGCUGGCGGCAGGCUUAACACAUGCAAGUCGAACGCUCGUAGCAAUACGGGAGUGGCGGACGGGUGAGUAACGCGUGGGAACAUGCCCUGAGGUACGGAAUAACUGAGGGAAACUUCAGCUAAUACCGUAUGAGCCCCGAGAGGGGGAAAGAUUUAUCGCCUUGGGAGCGGCCCGCGUCGGAUUAGCUAGUUGGUGGGGUAACGGCCUACCAAGGCUUCGAUCCGUAGCUGGUCUGAGAGGACGAUCAGCCACACUGGGACUGAGACACGGCCCAGACUCCUACGGGAGGCAGCAGUGGGGAAUCUUGCGCAAUGGGGGCAACCCUGACGCAGCCAUGCCGCGUGAACGAUGAAGGCCUUAGGGUUGUAAAGUUCUUUUACCCGUGACGAUGAUGACGGUAACGGGGGAAUAAGCUCCGGCUAACUUCGUGCCAGCAGCCGCGGU
rnacentral:rRNA from 1 species